UCAUCGAAAUUUAUUCCUAUUACGAACCGUCGGAAACACUGAUGAAGAGAUACAUGCCCCCAGCUUUAACUGACAGGCAGAUGUCGAUCUGUAAAGCGUGUAAUUUUGCGUGUUGUAACGAAGCCAACUUGAUCAAUCUUACGCAAUGCUAAUAUUCUGCAACUCACCGGUAAACAUUUAAAGAAACUGCAUUGAUGGAAUGACUAUAUGAACUACAGUUCAACUCUUGCAUAUAUUUUCCCUACCGAUAAACAUUAAUAAAUAGACUUGAUAUUUUGAUAUUAUUACAAACAUUAACAAACUUUCAACUCGUGUAAUGUUCUAGUAAAUGUAGAUGUAGUUUAUCAGAUACAGCUCUUAAAAGGGACAAAAUGCUCGUUCGUGGUUUUAUAACUUAUACACUAAUAUAUUAGAUAGGUCCCUAAAUAUUUGGACCAAAAAUAAUUAUUGUAAAAAAUUAUCAAUAAGGGAAGCUAGUUUUUUUAGAAUGCUUUUCUCCAGCUAGUGAAAAUAUUGUUUGUGAAAUAUUAGUUUUGUAAACAAAACAACCUUUCUAUUCUAUAUGAAAAUUAUUUAACACAGCGUCUCAAAAUUUUACAUAUAUACAUAUAGAUACCAAAUUAACACUUAUGUUUACAAUGAUCCUUAGAAAAUCAUUUUUAAUCUAGAUAAUUAAACUGACAUAUGAGACUUAUAAAAAAAAAAGGAAAUAAUAUGUGAUAGGCUAAACAAUUACUUCAGAUCUUAAGUAACACUUGAAAAGUCCUUACAUUUUUGAGACAGAGACAUUUUAAUGAAAUAUGUAUGUACAUGUAUAUUGUAUCGAUAAUACAUAAAUAGCAUGUGGUCCUAUUAUGAAUAAAAAUCUUGAGAAGAACAUGUUUAUAUUGUAAGUUGUAUUGCCGCACCUGUGAAGCUUAAUACUGAAAUGUGUUUUUAAAUAUUUUAUAUGGAACUAACUUCACGUCCUUUUCUUAGAAAUCUGAUCACAGUAUUAAUUGUGUACAUGGAACCAUAGCUCUUUUAUAUCAGCGUUUAAGC